rnacentral:rRNA from 1 species
ACCCUUACCUGGGUUUGACAUGGAUUGGAAACGGGUCAGAGAUGGCCGCCCCCCUUGUGGGCCGGUUCACAGGUGGUGCAUGGCUGUCGUCAGCUCGUGUCGUGAGAUGUUGGGUUAAGUCCCGCAACGAGCGCAACCCUCGUCCACUGUUGCCAGUAUUUGGUUGGGGACUCAGUGGAGACCGCCGGGGUCAACUCGGAGGAAGGUGGGGAUGACGUCAAGUCAUCAUGCCCCUUAUGUCCAGGGCUUCACGCAUGCUACAAUGGCCGGUACAAAGAGUGGCGACAUCGUGAGGUGGAGCGAAUCUCAGAAAGCCGGUCUCAGUUCGGAUUGGGGUCUGCAACUCGACCCCAUGAAGUCGGAGUCGCUAGUAAUCGCAGAUCAGCAACGCUGCGGUGAAUACGUUCCCGGGUCUUGUACACACCGCCU